rnacentral:lncRNA from 1 species
GUUGAAAGUCACAUUUUUUAUUUUGUUGUACAAUCAACAAUGAGUCCUUCCAGACUUGCAAAAAAAUAGUAGAGAACUGGACUCAGAAUUAACUUUGCUUUUAGUGGCUAGAUACCAGAGCAAAUUUUAAAAAGCCUACAAAAAAAUAAAAUGGGUUAAAAGUAGCAAUGUUACGUAUUUUCUUAAUAUCUUGUGAACAAUGCUUCUUACUCUCCAUGUCUUCUUCAAGGGUUUCUAUGAAGCAAUUUCAAAUUCAUGAGAGGAAGCAAGUUACAUUAAAUACAGCUUUAUGUGUCACCUUUAAUUUUGGACAGAGUUUACACUAAAAAUGAAGAAUCCAGAUCCAUAAGAGAAUUCUUAUUUUACCAUUACCUGUGGGUUACUUGAAGCAGAUGUUUUAUCAGCCCCCAGCUUCAAUUGCCCUAUGAAAAGGCAGCAGUACAGUAACUGUACUGUUACCAACACUGGUAACUCAAACCAGUAUGAUGGCAGCAGCAGCACGCACCAUUUGCUGUGCAUUCACACCAACCCUCAUGUUCUAGAUACCAUUCUGCUCUGUCUGCACAUUGGUACUUCUGCUGUUGCAUCUGCAAAGCCCUCAGUAGCUGCCAUGUGUGCUGUGACAAGAGGCAGGGGAAUUUGCACAGCUGUAGAAAGACCCGUUCCAACCACACAUGAAGGCAAACCCACCUUUCCAGUAAUUAAGCUAAAAUCCCUAUGUGCUGAGAAGCUGCUUCGCCAGGCUCAGUGCUUCACCCCAAAACAAGCUGGAAGUUACAAUUCAAAAACGACAUGCUUGGUGUAAAGGACCUUUCUCCUUACUUUUCUUCUCGAGUCUGUGGAUCACUGCCAGAGUUUGAGUUUCUCUAAAUUUCACCAGCUUCAAAGUUUAAUCUUGACUGUCUUCAAUUCAGGUAACUUUUUCUUAGAGGAAACAAGGUCAUUCAGUGUUGCAGUUUUUACUUCUGCACUAUCGAAAUAUGCUGCAAGAAAAUGGAAUAUGCAGCCUUUCCAACAACAUUCUGUAUUCCCCAAAUCCCUUUUACUCAUGGUCACCAACGGAAGCCCUCCUGUUCUCUUCUAGCACAUGCUUCAGGACAUGACACAUACGCAAAUUGCCAGCAUUUACCAUGAUGCCAACCAGCUCCACAGCAGCUACUUUUCUUUUUAAAGUUUAAGAGACAGAUCCAUAGGGCAGUAGGCAAGAUGAGACACAAAAAGCUUCUAGGACUGGUAUCCAAAACUUCUAUUUUGCUGCUAUGAAUCCUAGACUACGGCUACAGUGAGAAGCUGGAAUAAAAACCUGGCCUACAUAUAAGCUGUUCUGUAUUUCACCUGAAAAUGUACACCAAUUACGGGGAUGGGGGGAGAGAGAAGUACUAAUCAGAAAUCCCAAGUAGUAACACUUGAUUACUUUUAACUACCACAUAACUACAUGUGAAGAAAAUUAGAAUCAUAGAACAGUUAGGGUUGGAAAGGACCUUAAGAUCAUCUAGUUCCAAUCCCCCUGCCAUGGGCAGGGACACGUCACACUAAACCAUGUUGCCCAAGGCUCUGUCCAAGCUGGCCUUGAACACCGCUAGGGGUGGAGCAUUCACAACUUCCUUGGGCAACCCAUUCCAGUGCCUCACCACGCUCACUGAGGCACAGAAGUCAUUAAGAACCUCAGCCUUCUCCAAAUCCAGGGUAGCCAGUUCUCCCCGUAGCUUCUGGAGAGGGCCCACAUUGUCCCUAGUCUUGUCUUUUAUUUGCUACGUACCUGUAGAAGCCUUCCCUGUUAUCUUUCACGUCCCUGGCCAGAUUUAAUUCUAACUGGGCCUUAGCUUUCCUAACCUGGUCCCUAGAUUCCUGGACAGUAUCCCUGUAUUCUUCCCAGGCUGCCUGUCCUCGCUUCCACCUCUUACAAGCUUCUUUUUUCCCCUCUUAAGUUUCCUCAGCAGCUCCUUAUCCAUCCAUGGAGGUGUCCUGGCCCUCCUGCCGCACUUCCUUCUGGUCGGGUC